CGCGUAGAUAACCUGUCCUCAUGUCUGGAAUAAUACGCCGAAAGGGGUACUAAUACCGGAUAUUCUUGCUUUAUAUAAGUUUUGCAAGCAAAGGUGGCCUCUGACAUAAGCUACUGCAUAAAGAGGGGUCUGCGUACCAUUAGCUUGUAGGUGGGGUAAUGGCCUACCUAGGCGACGAUGGUUAGCGGGUCUGAGAGGAUGAUCCGCCACACUGGCACUGGAACACGGGCCAGACUCCUACGGGAGGCAGCAGUGAGGAAUAUUGCGCAAUGGGGGCAACCCUGACGCAGCGACGCCGCGUGAGCGAGGAAGGCCUUCGGGUCGUAAAGCUCUGUCAAAGGGAAAGAAAUGUAUAAUGGUUAAUACCUGUUAUAUUUGACGGUACCCUUAAAGGAAGCACCGGCUAACUCCGUGCCAGCAGCCGCGGUAAUACGGAGGGUGCAAGCGUUGUUCGGAAUUACUGGGCGUAAAGGGCGCGUAGGCGGUUUGAUAAGUCAGAUGUGAAAGCCCACGGCUUAACUGUGGAAGUGCAUUUGAUACUGUCAGACUUGAGUACCAGAGGGGAAAGUGGAAUUCCCGGUGUAGAGGUGAAAUUCGUAGAUAUCGGGAGGAAUACCGGUGGCGAAGGCGACUUUCUGGCUGGAUACUGACGCUGAGGCGCGAAAGCGUGGGGAGCAAACAGGAUUAGAUACUCUGGUAGUCCACGCUGUAAACGAUGUCAACUAGAUGUAGGGGGGUGUUGAUCCCUUCUGUGUCGCAGCUAACGCAUUAAGUUGACCGCCUGGGGAGUACGGUCGCAAGAUUAAACUCAAAGGAAUUGACGGGGGCCCGCACAAGCGGUGGAGUAUGUGGUUUAAUUCGAUGCCACGCGAAGAAACCUUACCUGGUCUUUGACAUCCCAGAGAUCCU
rnacentral:rRNA from 1 species